rnacentral:rRNA from 1 species
UACGUAGGGUGCAAGCGUUGUCCGGAAUUAUUGGGCGUAAAGAGCUCGUAGGCGGUCUGUCGCGUCUGCUGUGAAAACCCGGGGCUCAACCCCGGGCUUGCAGUGGAUACGGCAGACUAGAGUUCGGUAGGGGAGACUGGAAUUCCUGGUGUAGCGGUGAAAUGCGCAGAUAUCAGGAGGAACACCGGUGGCGAAGGCGGGUCUCUGGGCCGAUACUGACGCUGAGGAGCGAAAGCGUGGGGAGCGAACAGG